GUGCCAGCAGCCGCGGUAAUACAGAGGUCCCAAGCGUUGUUCGGAUUCACUGGGCGUAAAGGGUGCGUAGGUGGUCGGGUAAGUCUGAUGUGAAAUCUCCAAGCUCAACUUGGAAACUGCAUCGGAUACUAUUCGGCUCGAGGGUUGGAGGGGGGACUGGAAUGCUUGGUGUAGCAGUGAAAUGCGUAGAUAUCAAGCGGAACACCAGUGGCGAAGGCGAGUCCCUGGACAACUCCUGACACUGAGGCACGAAAGCUAGGGGAGCAAACAGGAUUAGAAACCCCCGUAGUCC
rnacentral:rRNA from 1 species